AGGGGCCAAGAACUUUGUAUUUUAUACUUACUGCAACAUCCUCGGUGCCCAAGGAGGUCCUCAGGAAAUAUUUGUCCGAUGAUUUGAUCAUUUUCUAGCUAAUGGAAGCACAACUGUGGGGCCAGCUGUGAUGCAGGGCCCCGUUCCACCCAGCAGAUGGCAGCAGAGAACAAGGCACCUGCCAGCCGGAGCCCAGGUGAAGGUCCAGGUUUGACCUUCCAGGUUGGCAUCUUCUACCACCUCCUCUUCCUAAGUGCGGGCCAGGCCCGAGGGCCGGAUAAUACUAUGCAGCUGUCAUUGAGAAGGCUCAAAAGCAGCGCGUGCCCAGCACAGUUCAAGCACUUUCAUUGAUCGGUCACAACAGCCUUAUGACAAGUCUCAUUGUGCAGACAGGAAGCUGUGUUGCAAUAACAGCCCCAGGUUACACAGCCAGCGGGGUGCCAGGCCUGGAAGGGGACCUGGACUCACUUCCUUAACCACCACGAGAUAAGGGCUGCGUUCGUCCACAUUCAACAGGAGAACGACCUGGGGCUCAGAGAUGUGAGGUCACUGGGAAUGUGGCACAGAAUUCAGAAGAGUGUAAAAUAAGAAGACUCUGCGGGUCUCUCCUCCCCAGCUGGCCAAAGGCCCUGGCUCAGUCCCAAGAAGCAGCCUCGGCAGCCAGGGAUGUGGCUGUCCAGAGACGGUGUGGACUGGAGAUACCCGGGAAUUCUUCCUCCUCCACUCAGUCGGUGCAUUCUGUGCAUAAUAUCUGGACCUUGCUGUUCUACCUUAACACGACUUAGAGACUCUUCCCCAUCAA